GUUAGGGUUAGGGUUGGAGCUAGGGUUAGAGCUAGGGUUAGGGUUAGGGUUGGAGCUAGGGUUAGGGUAAGGGUUAGGGUUGGAGCUAGGGUUAGGGUUAGGGUUAGGGUUGGAGCUAGGGUUAGGGUUAGGUUGGAGCUAGGGUUAGGGUUAGGGUUGGAGCUAGGGUUAGGGUUAGGGUUAGGGUUGGAACUAGGGUUAAAGUUAGGGUUAGGGUUGGAGCUAGGGUAAGGGUUAGGGUUAGGGUUGGAGCUAGGGUUGGGGAUAGGGUUGGAGCUAGGGUUAGGGUUAGGGUUGGAGCUAGGGUUAGGGUUAGGGUUAGGGUUGGAGCUAGGGUUAGGGUUAGGGUUAGGGUUGGAGCUAGGGUUAGGGUUAGGGUUAGGGUUGGAGCUAGGGUUAGGGUUAGGUUGGAGCCAGGGUUAGGGUUAGGGUUGGAGCUAGGGUUAGGGUUAGGGUUAGGGUUGGAACUAGGGUUAAAGUUAGGGUUAGGGUUGGAGCUAGGGUAAGGUUUAGGGUUAGGGUUGGAGCUAGGGUUGGGGAUAGGGUUGGAGCUAGGGUUAGGGUUAGGGUUGGAGCUAGGGUUAGGGUUAGGGUUAGGGUUGGAGCUAGGGUUAGGGUUAGGGUUAGGGUUGGAGCUAGGGUUAGGGUUAGGGUUAGGGUUGGAGCUAGGGUUAGAGUUAGGGUUAGGGUUGGAGCUAGGGUUAGGGUUAGGGUUAGGGUUGGAGCUACGGUUAGGGUUAGGGUUAUGGUUGGAGCUAGGGUUAGGGUUAGGGUUUGGGUUGCAGCUACGGUUAGGGUUAGGGUUAGGGUUGGAGCUAGGGUUAGGGUUAGGGUUGGAGCUAGGGUUAGGGUUAGGGUUGGAGCUAGGGUUAGGGUUAGGGUUAGGGUUGGAGCUAGAGUUAGGGUUGCAGCUAGGGUCAGGGUUAGGGUUAGGGUUGGAGAUAGGGUUAGGGUUAGGGUUAGGGUUGGAGCUAGGGUUAGGGUUAGGGUUGGAGCUAGGGUUACGGUUAGGGUUAGAGUUAGGGUUGGAGCUAGGGUUAGGGUUGGAGCUAGGGUUAGAGUUAGGGUUGGAGCUAGGGUUAGGGUUAGGGUUAGGGUUGGAGCAAGGGUCAGGGUUAGGGAUGGAGCUAGGGUUAGGGUUAGGGUUAGGGUUGGAGCUACGGUUAGGGUUAGGGUUAGGGUUGGAGCUAGGGUUAGAGCUAGGGUUAGGGUUAGGGUUGGAGCUAGGGUUAGGGUAAGGGUUAGGGUUGGAGCUAGGGUUAGGGUUAGGGUUAGGGUUGGAGCUAGGGUUAGGGUUAGGUUGGAGCUAGGGUUAGGGUUAGGGUUGGAGCUAGGGUUAGGGUUAGGGUUAGGGUUGGAACUAGGGUUAAAGUUAGGGUUAGGGUUGGAGCUAGGGUAAGGGUUAGGGUUAGGGUUGGAGCUAGGGUUGGGGAUAGGGUUGGAGCUAGGGUUAGGGUUAGGGUUGGAGCUAGGGUUAGGGUUAGGGUUAGGGUUGGAGCUAGGGUUAGGGUUAGGGUUAGGGUUGGAGCUAGGGUUAGGGUUAGGGUUAGGGUUGGAGCUAGGGUUAGGGUUGCAGCUAGGGUUAGAGUUAGGGUUAGGGUUGGAGCUAGGGUUAGGGUUAGGGUUAGGGUUGGAGCUAGGGUUAGGGUUAGGGUUAGGGUUGGAGCUAGGGUUAGGGUUAGGGUUAGGGUUCGAGCUAGGGUUAGGGUUAGGGUUAGGGUUGGAGCUAGGGUUAGGGUUGGAGCUAGGGUUAGGGUUAGGGUUAGGGUUGGAGCUAGAGUUAGGGUUGCAGCUAAGGUUAGGGUUAGGGUUAGGGUUGGAGCUAGGGUUAGGGUUAGGGUUGGAGCUAGGGUUAGGGUUAGAGUUGGAGCUAGGGUUAGGGUUAGGGUUGGAGCUAGGGUUAGGGUUAGGGUUAGGGUUGGAGCUAGAGUUAGGGUUGCAGCUAGGGUUAGGGUUAGGGUUAGGGUUGGAGCUAGGGUUAGGGUUAGGGUUGGAGCUAGGGUUAGGGUUAGGGUUAGGGUUGGAGCUAGGGUUACGGUUAGGGUUAGGGUUGGAGCUAGGGUUGGAGCUAGGGUUAGGGUUAGGGUUAGGGUUGGAGCUAGGGUUAGGGAUAGGGUUGGAGCUAGGGUUAGGGUUAGGGUUGGAGCUAGGGUCAGGAUUAGGGUUAGGGUUGGAGCUAGGGUUAGGGUUGGAGCUAGGGUUAGGGUUAGGGUUAGGGUUGGAGCUAGGGUUAGGGUUAGGGUUGGAGCUAGGGUUAGAGUUAGGGUUAGGGUUGGAGCCAGGGUUAGGGUUAGGGUUAGGGUUGGAGCUAGGGUUAGGGUUAGGGUUAGGGUUGGAGCUAGGGUUAGGGUUAGGGUUGGAGCUAGGGUUAGGGUUAGGGUUAGGGUUGGAGCUAGGGUUAGGGUUAGGGUUGGAGCUAGGGUUAGGGUUAGGGUUAGGGUUGGAGCUAGGGUUAGGGUUAGGGUUGGAGCUAGGGUUAGGGUUAGGGUUAGGGUUGGAGCUAGAGUUAGGGUUGCAGCUAGGGUUAGGGUUAGGGUUAGGGUUGGAGCUAGGGUUAGGGUUAGGGUUAGGGUUGGAGCUAGGGUUAGGGUUAGGGUUAGGGUUGGAGCUAGGGUUACGGUUAGGGUUAGAGUUAGGGUUGGAGCUAGGGUUAGGGUUGGAGCUAGGGUUAGGGUUAGGGUUGGAGCUAGGGUUAGGGUUAGGGUUAGGGUUGGAGCUAGGGUCAGGGUUAGGGAUGGAGCUAGGGUUAGGGUUAGGGUUAGGGUUGGAGCUAGGGUUAGGGUUAGGGUUAGGGUUGGAGCUAGGGUUAGGGUUAGGGUUGGAGCUAGGGUUAGAGCUAGGGUUAGGGUUAGGGUUGGAGCUAGGGUUAGGGUAAGGGUUAGGGUUGGAGCUAGGGUUAGGGUUAGGGUUGGAGCUAGGGUUAGGGUUAGGUUGGAGCUAGGGUUAGGGUUAGGGUUGGAGCUAGGGUUAGGGUUAGGGUUAGGGUUGGAACUAGGGUUAAAGUUAGGGUUAGGGUUGGAGCUAGGGUAAGGUUUAGGGUUAGGGUUGGAGCUAGGGUUAGGGUUAGGGUUAGGGUUGGAGCUAGGGUUAGGGUUAGGGUUGGAGCUAGGGUUAGAGCUAGGGUUAGGGUUAGGGUUGGAGCUAGGGUUAGGGUAAGGGUUAGGGUUGGAGCUAGGGUUAGGGUUAGGGUUAGGGUUGGAGCUAGGGUUAGAGUUAGGGUUAGGGUUGGAGCUAGGGUUAGGGUUAGGGUUAGGGUUGGAGCUAGGGUUAGGGUUAGGGUUAGGGUUGGAGCUAGGGUUAGGGUUAGGGUUAGGGUUGGAGCUAGGGUUAGGGUUAGGGUUAGGGUUGGAGCUAGGGUUAGGGUUAGGGUUGGAGCUAGGGUUAGGGUUAGGGUUAGGGUUGGAGCUAGAGUUAGGGUUGCAGCUAGGGUCAGGGUUAGGGUUAGGGUUGGAGAUAGGGUUAGGGUUAGGGUUAGGGUUGGAGCUAGGGUUAGGGUUAGAGUUAGGGUUGGAGCUAGGGUUAGGGUUGGAGCUAGGGUUAGAGUUAGGGUUGGAGCUAGGGUUAGGGUUAGGGUUAGGGUUGGAGCAAGGGUCAGGGUUAGGGAUGGAGCUAGGGUUAGGGUUAGGGUUAGGGUUGGAGCUACGGUUAGGGUUAGGGUUAGGGUUGGAGCUAGGUUUAGGGUUAGGGUUGGAGCUAGGGUUAGAGCUAGGGUUAGGGUUAGGGUUGGAGCUAGGGUUAGGGUAAGGGUUAGGGUUGGAGCUAGGGUUAGGGUUAGGGUUGGAGCAAGGGUUAGGGUUAGGUUGGAGCUAGGGUUAGGGUUAGGGUUGGAGCUAGGGUUAGGGUUAGGGUUAGGGUUGGAGCUAGGGUUAGGGUUAGGGUUAGGGUUGGAGCUAGGGUUAGGGCUAGGGUUAGGGUUGGAGCUAGGGUUAGGGUUAGGGUUAGGGUUAGGGUUGGAGCUAGGGUUAGGGUUAGGGUUAGGGUUGGAGCAAGGGUUAGGGUUAGGGUUGGAGCUAGGGUUAGGGUUAGGGUUGCAGCUAGGGUCAGGGUUAGGGUUAGGGUUGGAGCUAGGGUUAGGGUUAGGGUUAGGGUUGGAGCUAGGGUUAGGGUUAGGGUUAGGGUUAGGGUUGGAGCUAGGGUUAGGGUUACGGUUGGAGCUAGGGUUAGGGUUGCAGCUAGGGUUAGGGUUAGGGUUAGGGUUGGAGCUAGGGUUAGGGUUAAGGUUGGAGCUAGGGUUAGGAUAUAGGGAUAUGUGCCACUUUUGACAUGCCGGUUCAUUGCCUUUCCCAUCGAUGAACCGGGCUGAGAUUUGGUCUACCCCCCCAUUUUCGGGUAUGCUGAAUCUAGAAAUAGUAAUGAACCAGCGAUCGGACAUUCCUAUCAAAAGUUAUGGCGAAGUGAAAAUUUCCCAUUGAAAAUGAAUGGGAGCGGAAAAUGGCCAAAGUCAGUGUUUGCAAGUGUUGUACUUGUCUGGAAGUGUUGAAAAUGCAUUGUGAGCACGUUUCAGGCUAUUUCCUGUCAUUUGAGGGCGACUUUGCAAAAAGAGGUGUCAUACCGCUUUUGACCAGAGGUGGUGCUGCACAUGUCCGACGGUUAGGGUUAGGGUGAGACUUUGGGCUAGGGGUUAGGGUUAGGGCUGGAGCUAGGGUUAGGGUUAGGGUUGGAGCUAGGGUUAGGGUUAGGGUUGGAGCUAGGGUUAGGGUUAGGGUUGGAGCUAGGGUUAGGGUUAGGGUUAGGAAAAUGUGAAGAUUUUCCCAAAAUCUGAAGAUUUUCCUAAGUGCGGACCCAAUUUUUCACCUUCCAGAAUUGUGUUAGGAGCACGUUUUAGGCCACGGGAGUCCAUAGAACCUGAUUGUGGGUGAAGUUUUCGGGGGUUAGGGUUAGGGUUAGGGUUAGGGUUAGGGUUAGGGUUUAGGGUUAGGGUUAGGGUUAGGGUUGGAGCUAGGGUUAGGGUAAGGGUUAGGGUUGGAGCUAGGGUUAGGGUUAGGGUUAGGGUUGGAGCUAGGGUUAAGUUUAGGUUGGAGCUAGGGUUAGGGUUAGGGUUGGAGCUAGGGUUAGGGUUAGGGUUAGGGUUGGAACUAGGGUUAAAGUUAGGGUUAGGGUUGGAGCUAGGGUAAGGGUUAGGGUUAGGGUUGGAGCUAGGGUUGGGGAUAGGGUUGGAGCUAGGGUUAGGGUUAGGGUUGGAGCUAGGGUUAGGGUUAGGGUUAGGGUUGGAGCUAGGGUUAGGGUUAGGGUUAGGGUUGGAGCUAGAGUUAGGGUUGCAGCUAGGGUUAGAGUUAGGGUUAGGGUUGGAGCUAGGGUUAGGGUUAGGGUUAGGGUUGGAGCUAGGGUUGGAGCUAGGGUUAGGGUUAGGGUUAGGGUUGGAGCUAGGGUUAGGGUUAGGGUUAGGGUUGGAGCUAGGGUUGGGGUUAGGGUUAGGGUUGGAGCUAGGGUUAGGGUUAGGGUUAGGGUUGGAGCUAGGGUUAGAGUUAGGGUUAGGGUUGGAGCUAGGGUUAGGGUUAGGGUUAGGGUUGGAGCUAGGGUUAGGGUUAGGGUUAGGGUUGGAGCUAGGGUUAGGGUUAGGGUUGGAGCUAGGGUUAGGGUUAGGGUUAGGGUUGGAGCUAGGGUUAGGGUUAGGGUUAGGGUUGGAGCUAGGGUUAGGGUUAGGGUUGGAGCUAGGGUUAGGGUUAGGGUUGGAGCUAGGGUUAGGGUUAGGGUUAGGGUUGGAGCUAGAGUUAGGGUUGCAGCUAGGGUUAGGGUUAGGGUUAGGGUUGGAGCUAGGGUUAGGGUUAGGGUUAGGGUUGGAGCUAGGGUUAGGGUUAGGGUUAGGGUUGGAGCUAGGGUUACGGUUAGGGUUAGAGUUAGGGUUGGAGCUAGGGUUAGGGUUGGAGCUAGGGUUAGGGUUAGGGUUAGGGUUGGAGCUAGGGUCAGGGUUAGGGAUGGAGCUAGGGUUAGGGUUAGGGUUAGGGUUGGAGCUAGGGUUAGGGUUAGGGUUAGGGUUGGAGCUAGGGUUAGGGUUAGGGUUGGAGCUAGGGAUAGUGCUAGGGUUAGGGUUAGGGUUGGAGCUAGGGUUAGGGUUAGGGUUAGGGUUGGAGCUAGGGUUAGGGUUGGAGCUAGGGUUAGGGUUAGGUUGGAGCUAGGGUUAGGGUUAGGGUUGGAGCUAGGGUUAGGGUUAGGGUUAGGGUUGGAACUAGGGUUAAAGUUAGGGUUAGGGUUGGAGCUAGGGUAAGGUUUAGGGUUAGGGUUGGAGCUAGGGUUGGGGAUAGGGUUGGAGCUAGGGUUAGGGUUAGGGUUGGAGCUAGGGUUAGGGUUAGGGUUAGGGUUGGAGCUAGGGUUAGGGUUAGGGUUAGGGUUGGAGCUAGGGUUAGGGUUAGGGUUAGGGUUGGAGCUAGGGUUAGAGUUAGGGUUAGGGUUGGAGCUAGGGUUAGGGUUAGGGUUAGGGUUGGAGCUAGGGUUAGGGUUAGGGUUAGGGUUGGAGCUAGGGUUAGGGUUAGGGUUAGGGUUGGAGCUAGGGUUAGGGUUAGGGUUAGGGUUGGAGCUAGGGUUAGGGUUAGGGUUGGAGCUAGGGUUAGGGUUAGGGUUGGAGCUAGGGUUAGGGUUAGGGUUAGGGUUGGAGCUAGAGUUAGGGUUGCAGCUAGGGUCAGCGUUAGGGUUAGGGUUGGAGAUAGGGUUAGGGUUAGGGUUAGGGUUGGAGCUAGGGUUAGGGUUAGGGUUGGAGCUAGGGUUACGGUUAGGGUUAGAGUUAGGGUUGGAGCUAGGGUUAGGGUUGGAGCUAGGGUUAGAGUUAGGGUUGGAGCUAGGGUUAGGGUUAGGGUUAGGGUUGGAGCAAGGGUCAGGGUUAGGGAUGGAGCUAGGGUUAGGGUUAGGGUUAGGGUUGGAGCUACGGUUAGGGUUAGGGUUAGGGUUGGAGCUAGGGUUAGAGCUAGGGUUAGGGUUAGGGUUGGAGCUAGGGUUAGGGUAAGGGUUAGGGUUGGAGCUAGGGUUAGGGUUAGGGUUAGGGUUGGAGCUAGGGUUAGGGUUAGGUUGGAGCUAGGGUUAGGGUUAGGGUUGGAGCUAGGGUUAGGGUUAGGGUUAGGGUUGGAACUAGGGUUAAAGUUAGGGUUAGGGUUGGAGCUAGGGUAAGGGUUAGGGUUAGGGUUGGAGCUAGGGUUGGGGAUAGGGUUGGAGAUAGGGUUAGGGUUAGGGUUGGAGCUAGGGUUAGGGUUAGGGUUAGGGUUGGAGCUAGGGUUAGGGUUAGGGUUAGGGUUGGAGCUAGGGUUAGGGUUAGGGUUAGGGUUGGAGCUAGGGUUAGGGUUAGGUUGGAGCCAGGGUUAGGGUUAGGGUUGGAGCUAGGGUUAGGGUUAGGGUUAGGGUUGGAACUAGGGUUAAAGUUAGGGUUAGGGUUGGAGCUAGGGUAAGGUUUAGGGUUAGGGUUGGAGCUAGGGUUGGGGAUAGGGUUGGAGCUAGGGUUAGGGUUAGGGUUGGAGCUAGGGUUAGGGUUAGGGUUAGGGUUGGAGCUAGGGUUAGGGUUAGGGUUAGGGUUGGAGCUAGGGUUAGGGUUAGGGUUAGGGUUGGAGCUAGGGUUAGAGUUAGGGUUAGGGUUGGAGCUAGGGUUAGGGUUAGGGUUAGGGUUGGAGCUAGGGUUAGGGUUAGGGUUAGGGUUGGAGCUAGGGUUAGGGUUAGGGUUAGGGUUGGAGCUAGGGUUAGGGUUAGGGUUAGGGUUGGAGCUAGGGUUAGGGUUAGGGUUGGAGCUAGGGUUAGGGUUAGGGUUGGAGCUAGGGUUAGGGUUAGGGUUAGGGUUGGAGCUAGAGUUAGGGUUGCAGCUAGGGUCAGGGUUAGGGUUAGGGUUGGAGAUAGGGUUAGGGUUAGGGUUAGGGUUGGAGCUAGGGUUAGGGUUAGGGUUGGAGCUAGGGUUACGGUUAGGGUUAGAGUUAGGGUUGGAGCUAGGGUUAGGGUUGGAGCUAGGGUUAGAGUUAGGGUUGGAGCUAGGGUUAGGGUUAGGGUUAGGGUUAGGGUUGGAGCAGGGUCAGGGUUAGGGAUGGAGCUAGGGUUAGGGUUAGGGUUAGGGUUGGAGCUACGGUUAGGGUUAGGGUUAGGGUUGGAGCUAGGGUUAGAGCUAGGGUUAGGGUUAGGGUUGGAGCUAGGGUUAGGGUAAGGGUUAGGGUUGGAGCUAGGGUUAGGGUUAGGGUUAGGGUUGGAGCUAGGGUUAGGGUUAGGUUGGAGCUAGGGUUAGGGUUAGGGUUGGAGCUAGGGUUAGGGUUAGGGUUAGGGUUGGAACUAGGGUUAAAGUUAGGGUUAGGGUUGGAGCUAGGGUAAGGGUUAGGGUUAGGGUUGGAGCUAGGGUUGGGGAUAGGGUUGGAGCUAGGGUUAGGGUUAGGGUUGGAGCUAGGGUUAGGGUUAGGGUUAGGGUUGGAGCUAGGGUUAGGGUUAGGGUUAGGGUUGGAGCUAGGGUUAGGGUUAGGGUUAGGGUUGGAGCUAGGGUUAGGGUUGCAGCUAGGGUUAGAGUUAGGGUUAGGGUUGGAGCUAGGGUUAGGGUUAGGGUUAGGGUUGGAGCUAGGGUUAGGGUUAGGGUUAGGGUUGGAGCUAGGGUUAGGGUUAGGGUUAGGGUUCGAGCUAGGGUUAGGGUUAGGGUUAGGGUUGGAGCUAGGGUUAGGGUUGGAGCUAGGGUUAGGGUUAGGGUUAGGGUUGGAGCUAGAGUUAGGGUUGCAGCUAAGGUUAGGGUUAGGGUUAGGGUUGGAGCUAGGGUUAGGGUUAGGGUUGGAGCUAGGGUUAGGGUUAGAGUUGGAGCUAGGGUUAGGGUUAGGGUUGGAGCUAGGGUUAGGGUUAGGGUUAGGGUUGGAGCUAGAGUUAGGGUUGCAGCUAGGGUUAGGGUUAGGGUUAGGGUUGGAGCUAGGGUUAGGGUUAGGGUUGGAGCUAGGGUUAGGGUUAGGGUUAGGGUUGGAGCUAGGGUUACGGUUAGGGUUAGGGUUGGAGCUAGGGUUGGAGCUAGGGUUAGGGUUAGGGUUAGGGUUGGAGCUAGGGUUAGGGAUAGGGUUGGAGCUAGGGUUAGGGUUAGGGUUGGAGCUAGGGUCAGGAUUAGGGUUAGGGUUGGAGCUAGGGUUAGGGUUGGAGCUAGGGUUAGGGUUAGGGUUAGGGUUGGAGCUAGGGUUAGGGUUAGGGUUGGAGCUAGGGUUAGGUUAGGGUUAGGGUUGGAGCCAGGGUUAGGGUUAGGGUUAGGGUUGGAGCUAGGGUUAGGGUUAGGGUUAGGGUUGGAGCUAGGGUUAGGGUUAGGGUUGGAGCUAGGGUUAGAGUUAGGGUUAGGGUUGGAGCUAGGGUUAGGGUUAGGGUUGGAGCUAGGGUUAGGGUUAGGGUUAGGGUUGGAGCUAGGGUUAGGGUUAGGGUUGGAGCUAGGGUUAGGGUUAGGGUUAGGGUUGGAGCUAGAGUUAGGGUUGCAGCUAGGGUUAGGGUUAGGGUUAGGGUUGGAGCUAGGGUUAGGGUUAGGGUUAGGGUUGGAGCUAGGGUUAGGGUUAGGGUUAGGGUUGGAGCUAGGGUUACGGUUAGGGUUAGAGUUAGGGUUGGAGCUAGGGUUAGGGUUGGAGCUAGGGUUAGGGUUAGGGUUGGAGCUAGGGUUAGGGUUAGGGUUAGGGUUGGAGCUAGGGUCAGGGUUAGGGAUGGAGCUAGGGUUAGGGUUAGGGUUAGGGUUGGAGCUAGGGUUAGGGUUAGGGUUAGGGUUGGAGCUAGGGUUAGGGUUAGGGUUGGAGCUAGGGUUAGAGCUAGGGUUAGGGUUAGGGUUGGAGCUAGGGUUAGGGUAAGGGUUAGGGUUGGAGCUAGGGUUAGGGUUAGGGUUGGAGCUAGGGUUAGGGUUAGGUUGGAGCUAGGGUUAGGGUUAGGGUUGGAGCUAGGGUUAGGGUUAGGGUUAGGGUUGGAACUAGGGUUAAAGUUAGGGUUAGGGUUGGAGCUAGGGUAAGGUUUAGGGUUAGGGUUGGAGCUAGGGUUAGGGUUAGGGUUAGGGUUGGAGCUAGGGUUAGGGUUAGGGUUGGAGCUAGGGUUAGAGCUAGGGUUAGGGUUAGGGUUGGAGCUAGGGUUAGGGUAAGGGUUAGGGUUGGAGCUAGGGUUAGGGUUAGGGUUAGGGUUGGAGCUAGGGUUAGAGUUAGGGUUAGGGUUGGAGCUAGGGUUAGGGUUAGGGUUAGGGUUGGAGCUAGGGUUAGGGUUAGGGUUAGGGUUGGAGCUAGGGUUAGGGUUAGGGUUAGGGUUGGAGCUAGGGUUAGGGUUAGGGUUAGGGUUGGAGCUAGGGUUAGGGUUAGGGUUGGAGCUAGGGUUAGGGUUAGGGUUAGGGUUGGAGCUAGAGUUAGGGUUGCAGCUAGGGUCAGGGUUAGGGUUAGGGUUGGAGAUAGGGUUAGGGUUAGGGUUAGGGUUGGAGCUAGGGUUAGGGUUAGAGUUAGGGUUGGAGCUAGGGUUAGGGUUGGAGCUAGGGUUAGAGUUAGGGUUGGAGCUAGGGUUAGGGUUAGGGUUAGGGUUGGAGCAAGGGUCAGGGUUAGGGAUGGAGCUAGGGUUAGGGUUAGGGUUAGGGUUGGAGCUACGGUUAGGGUUAGGGUUAGGGUUGGAGCUAGGUUUAGGGUUAGGGUUGGAGCUAGGGUUAGAGCUAGGGUUAGGGUUAGGGUUGGAGCUAGGGUUAGGGUAAGGGUUAGGGUUGGAGCUAGGGUUAGGGUUAGGGUUAGGGUUGGAGCAAGGGUUAGGGUUAGGUUGGAGCUAGGGUUAGGGUUAGGGUUGGAGCUAGGGUUAGGGUUAGGGUUAGGGUUGGAGCUAGGGUUAGGGUUAGGGUUAGGGUUGGAGCUAGGGUUAGGGCUAGGGUUAGGGUUGGAGCUAGGGUUAGGGUUAGGGUUAGGGUUAGGGUUGGAGCUAGGGUUAGGGUUAGGGUUAGGGUUGGAGCAAGGGUUAGGGUUAGGGUUGGAGCUAGGGUUAGGGUUAGGGUUGCAGCUAGGGUCAGGGUUAGGGUUAGGGUUGGAGCUAGGGUUAGGGUUAGGGUUAGGGUUGGAGCUAGGGUUAGGGUUAGGGUUAGGGUUAGGGUUGGAGCUAGGGUUAGGGUUACGGUUGGAGCUAGGGUUAGGGUUGCAGCUAGGGUUAGGGUUAGGGUUAGGGUUGGAGCUAGGGUUAGG
rnacentral:lncRNA from 1 species